GACGAACGCUGGCGGCGUGCUUAACACAUGCAAGUCGAACGGAGUGGCGAACGGGUGAGUACCACGGAGGUGCACGGCCGUGCCCUUCGGGAUAGGCGUGGGAAACUGGUUCUAAUACCUGAUAGUGCAAGAUGAGCUCGGGGCCUAUCGGCUUGUUGGUGGGGUAAUGGCCUAGCAAGGCGUCGACGGGUAGCCGGCCUGAGAGGGUGGACGGGCACAUUGGGACUGAGAUACGGCCCAGACGCGUACGGUAGGCAGCAGUGGGGAAUAUUGCACAACGGGCGGAAGCCUGAUGCAGAGACGCCGGGUGGGGGAUGAAGGCUUUCGGGUUGUAAACUACUAUCGACAGGGACGCGGUACCUGUAUAGGAAGCACCGGCUAACUACGUGCCAGCAGCCGCGGUAAUAC
rnacentral:rRNA from 1 species